rnacentral:rRNA from 1 species
AGGGAAUCUUCCGCAAUGGACGGAAGUCUGACGGAGCAACGCCGCGUGAGUGAUGAAGGUUUUCGGAUCGUAAAGCUCUGUUGCUAGGGAAGAACAAGUACAAGAGUAACUGCUUGUACCUUGACGGUACCUAACCAGAAAGCCACGGCUAACUACGUGCCAGCAGCCGCGGUAAUGCGUAGGUGGCAAGCGUUGUCCGGAAUUAUUGGGCGUAAAGCGCGCGCAGGCGGUCCUUUAAGUCUGAUGUGAAAGCCCACGGCUCAACCGUGGAGGGUCAUUGGAAACUGGGGGACUUGAGUGCAGAAGAGAAGAGUGGAAUUCCACGUGUAGCGGUGAAAUGCGUAGAGAUGUGGAGGAACACCAGUGGCGAAGGCGACUCUUUGGUCUGUAACUGACGCUGAGGCGCGAAAGCGUGGGGAGCAAAC